rnacentral:rRNA from 1 species
AUUGAACGCUGGCGGCAGGCCUAACACAUGCAAGUCGAGCGGAUGAAGGGAGCUUGCUCCUGGAUUCAGCGGCGGACGGGUGAGUAAUGCCUAGGAAUCUACCUGGUAGUGGGGGAUAACGUCCGGAAACGGGCGCUAAUACCGCAUACGUCCUGAGGGAGAAAGUGGGGGAUCUUCGGACCUCACGCUAUCAGAUGAGCCUAGGUCGGAUUAGCUAGUUGGUGGGGUAAAGGCCUACCAAGGCGACGAUCCGUAACUGGUCUGAGAGGAUGAUCAGUCACACUGGGACUGAGACACGGUCCAGACUCCUACGGGAGGCAGCAGUGGGGAAUAUUGGACAAUGGGCGAAAGCCUGAUCCAGCCAUGCCGCGUGUGUGAAGAAGGUCUUCGGAUUGUAAAGCACUUUAAGUGGGGAGGAAGGGCAGUAAGUUAAUACCUUGCUGUUUUGACGUUACCAACAGAAUAAGCACCGGCUAACUUCGUG